rnacentral:rRNA from 1 species
GUAGGUGGCAAGCGUUGUCCGGAAUUAUUGGGCGUAAAGCGCGCGCAGGGCGGUCCUUUAAGUCUGAUGUGAAAGCCCACGGCUCAACCGUGGAGGGUCAUUGGAAACUGGGGGACUUGAGUACAGAAGAGGAAAGCGGAAUUCCAAGUGUAGCGGUGAAAUGCGUAGAGAUUUGGAGGAACACCAGUGGCGAAGGCGGCUUUCUGGUCUGUAACUGACGCUGAGGCGCGAAAGCGUGGGGAGCAAACAGGAUUAGAUACCCUGGUAGUCCACGCCGUAAACGAUGAGUGCUAAGUGUAGGGGGUUUCCGCCCCUUAGUGCUGCAGCUAACGCAUUAAGCACUCCGCCUGGGGAGUACGGCCGCAAAGGCUG